GUGACAAAAUACAGGGUCAGUACCAUAUUAACAAUGUACAGGGAUACUGGAGGGAUGGAGGUAGAUAUGUAUAGGGGUAAGGGGACAGGGAUACUGGAGUGAUGGAGGUAGAUAUGUAUAGGGGGAAGGGGACAGGGAUACUGGAGUGAUGGAGGUAGAUAUGUAUAGGGGGAAGGUGACUAUAUACAGGGUCAGUACCAUAUUAACAAUGUACAGGGAUACUGGAGGGAUGGAGGUAGAUAUGUAUAGGGGUAAGGUGACUAUAUACAGGGUCAGUACCAUAUUAACAAUGUACAAGGAUACUGGAGUGAUGGAGGUAGAUAUGUAUAGGGGGAAGGUGACUAUAUACAGGGUCAGUACCAUAUUAACAAUGUACAGGGAUACUGGAGUGAUGGAGGUAGAUAUGUA
rnacentral:lncRNA from 1 species